CCGACUCUCUGCAACCCUAUGGACUGUAUGUAGCCUGCCAGGCUCCUCGGUCCAUGGGAUUCUCCAGGCAGCAAUACUGGAGUGGUUUGCCAUGCCCUCCUCCAGGGGAUCUUCCCGACCCAGGGAUGCAUUGGCAGGCGGGUUCUCUACCACUAGCACCACCUGGGAAGCCCACUUGCUGUAGUGCUGACAAAGGAAGCAGAGCCAAGACCUCUGGCCCAACAAAGUUGAGCAAGACCUGACAGCCCUCCCACAGAGGUGCGCUCAUUUCCUUCCCUCAGUGGAGCGUCCGUUGUCCCAACGUGAUCCCUCCCCGCCCCCACCCGUUGGUUUGAAGGCUAUCUUAUCUAUGUGGCAGAAACGCACAUUUUGGAGUUUACCACUAGAAAUACUAUUUAAACCCCAGAGGAGUAAGUUUAAGUGGAGAUCAGAAGACCCUGGAGUUCUCUGAAACAAGUGCAGGAAAAGAUGCUGAUCACUCCAGAAUUAUGUUCAGGCUGGAGAAGAGACAAAUCAAGGGUUUCAGUAGGCAUCUUGUCACCUCUGCACGGUGCCAUGGACUGAAGCAGGAGGCCUGAACCAAUAAUAAGCCUGUGAUGAAGAACUUUGAGUAGAGAAGAUGCUGAGCACCCUGUCACUGGAGCUAGGUAGAAAAGGAGAGGUCAGAGAACCCUUCCUGCCUCUGGAGCAUCAUACUUUAGGGUGGCACGCCCUGAACUCCUUCAGAGUUUUCCUGGACUCCAAGAAACAAGAUUCGAGUGAAGGGACUUUAUUUGGGAAGUGGAGGUCACUCAAGUGGGGAAGUGAAACAGGGAAGGAAAGGAGCCAGCAAAGUGUAUGUGGGGAAACACAUGCCUCAGAAUGACCCCACAUAGGAGGUGAGGGAGCUGGGGUAUUUAUCCACCACAGUUUCUGGAGCCAAAGCUCUUAUACACAGAGGUAACACACGUGACAGAUGGAAGCUGCUGGGGCACAAAGAGAUGUGUGAGGGGUAUAAGAGGACAUGGACAGCA
ensembl:lncRNA